AUGAACAAAUUUUUAAUAUAUAAGUAUUUUUUCUAUUAUAAUUUCUACUAUACUUUUCCAGUUGAAAAAGUAUAGUAGGGCAUGCAAAAUGUUCAUUGGAGCUGUUUGGAUAGAAAAUACAGAGAAAUAAAGAGAGAAAAUUCGAUUGAUAAUUUUUUGUGCUGCUCGUCAUCUUUAAAUGUAAUAAAUUUUUUCAAUGAAAUGCAUAGACCGCAUCUAACUAAUACAGAUUUAAGCUGCUCAAAAUUUAAUGUCAUGGAGAUAAUGAGCCACUACCAUGCUUAUGCAAGAGAAAACAUAAUAACCAAUAGAAUAGUAAGCAAAUUCCUACUCCUGUAACGCAAAAAAAGAAACAGAAAACAUUUUUUAUGCAUACUCCACAUACUGUAGCUCAAGGUUAACAAACUUUCUAAAAUUGGAGGUAAAACC
rnacentral:lncRNA from 1 species